rnacentral:rRNA from 1 species
GAAGGGUGCAAGCGUUAAUCGGAAUUACUGGGCGUAAAGCGUGCGUAGGCGGUUAUUUAAGUCUGUUGUGAAAUCCCCGGGCUCAACCUGGGAAUGGCAAUGGAUACUGGAUAGCUAGAGUGUGAUAGAGGAUGGUGGAGUUCCCGGUGUAGCGGUGAAAUGCGUAGAGAUCGGGAGGAACAUCAGUGGCGAAGGCGGCCAUCUGGAUCAACACUGACGCUGAGGCACGAAAGCGUGGGGAGCAAACAGGAUUAGAUACCCUGGUAGUCCACGCCCUAAACGAUGCGAACUGGAUGUUGGUCUCAACUCGGAGAUCAGUGUCGAAGCUAACGCGUUAAGUUCGCCGCCUGGGGAGUACGGUCGCAAGACUG